GAAAAUUUGGUGAUUGGGUGUCCAAUUUAUCAAUGAAAAAUAUCAAGCUCACAUUUUACUAAUUAAGAUAAUUAAUUAACACGUUUUUAAGUUUCAAAGUACUGACGUUAUAACAAAUUUUUUUAAAAUAAAUUCGUGCAGUAAAUUUUUAAAAAUUAAUACAUCAGGUUAUUUCUUCUUUGACAAAAAUUAUCACAAUGAAAGUGGAAAAAAGUCUCUCUCAAAUCUUUAAUCGAGAAUUGCAAAUCGGUGACAAAGAAGUAUACACUAAAAUAAUAUCAACCCUAGUACAGCGUGGAGUAAUUAAUAACUACUAUCCACUCUCUGGUCAAGACAUUGAAGAAAUGGCUAAAAAUAUUUACAACACAAGUGAAGAUAAAUUAGCCGAAGUUUCUGAAACCAUUCAACUUUUUUUAAACGAGUACAGGGAGAAAAUAUUUCGUGACAUUUCUUUAUUCAAAAAUGGCACCACUGUUUCGUUUAACAUCAGAAUCAGACGCCGGCAAUAAUCCGCCAUUUUAUUCAUCAAUGUUCGUACAAACAAUUGAAUUCUGACGAGACAUUUUUUAAUAAAAAAUCAAUUAUUACUCAGUUUUAUUUUUUUUUUUUUUAUUUUUUUACAUAAUUGAGUAAAAGUUAAUAAUUUACUAUGGUAAGACAAAAGAAAUAAAUAAUAUAAAUCUUCUUCUAUAUUUAUAUAUAAUUUAACUCAGGGAAAGUAGUUGUAAUAAACGACAAUAAUAUAAUGGAAUAGUGUAGAAUAGUACAGAAACAAGAAGACUAGAAUUCUUCAGAGUAAAAUAACAUUUAGGUGAGUGUUGUAUAGUUGAUAGUUGUAAGCUAAGAGAAAGCGCUUAGCUCUUUUCCUGGGAACGAGUGUAUAAGGAUGUUUGUUAAAUAUCUGACGUAUUUCUUUUGCGUUUAAAAUUAGUCACGUCCGUUAAAAUCUUAUGUUUAUAUGUUAAAAUAUUUUAUUUUCUUGACUUUGCUCAUAACUGAAAGUUCUUUUAUUUAUAAAGUUUCAUCACAAUCCUUGUAAUAUUUAUUUAUCUUAA